rnacentral:rRNA from 1 species
CGGACGGGUGAGUAAUACAUAGGAAUCUGCCCUGUAGUGGGGGACAACUUAGGGAAACUUAAGCUAAUACCGCAUAAUCUCUACGGAGGAAAGGGGGCUUCGGCUCUCGCUAUUGGAUGAGCCUAUGUCUGAUUAGCUUGUUGGUGGGGUAAAGGCCUACCAAGGCGACGAUCAGUAGCUGGUCUGAGAGGAUGAUCAGCCACACUGGAACUGAGACACGGUCCAG